rnacentral:lncRNA from 1 species
AUGAUGAUGAGUAAAUUUUGGUUUAAAGUUUUUAAAACUUCUAGAUUAACUAAUUUUGACCGGAGCAUAAAUAAACAUGGAAUAAACUUUAUUUUUAGUAAUGAUAACAAUACCACCGGUGUAAGUGCCUUCAACCAUUCUUUUGUUCGCCUGUACCAUGAAGUGGACGCUCACGAUAUACCAAAUGUGUCUGUCUCCAAGAUGAAACGCUUCUUAGAGCUGAAUGGUCUUGGAGUUAAGGAUGGCUAUGCUUGUCUCAUCACCUCUUGCAAAUUCUGCUCCAGUGCCACAAAAGACUCAGCAUUAUUUGUCAACAAAGUUACUGGAUUCUAUCAAUGCUCUAACUGUGGAAUUUCUGGUCAGUGGAGCACAUUGCAGAAUCAAAUCAACAAGAAAGGAGAAGGAGAGCUGCCCAAACCAGAGCACGUCAUCAAAGAUGACCCUGCUGAUUCGAAGUGGCGUGAACUCAGUGAAAAAUUACAAAAUUUGUCAUCACUUCCUCCUAAUGAAAGGAGCAAAAUCAUUGAGAAAUUUGACCUAAAGGGUCUAUCAAAAAAUGUGAUCACUCAACUAGGUAUUCUUGUGGACUCGGAAAAACCACUUUGUAUUUUCCUCUGA